GGAGGUAGUGACAAUAAAUCUCAAUACGAAGCCUUUGGUUUUGUAAUUGAAUUGAGAACAAUGUACAAUCGUUAUCGAUAAACAAUUGGAGGGCAAGUCUGGUGCCAGCAGCCGCGGUAAUUCCAGCUCCAAUAGCGUAUAUUAACGUUGUUGCAGUUAAAAAGCUCGUAGUUGAAGUUUAGAUGGUUUGAAGGGGGUGUUAGUAUCAAUGGUACUAUCUGCUCUCUUUGGAUUAUCGACUUCCAGGUAAGUAUAAUGAACCUUUCGGGGUUCGUUAUACCAGACUGGUCUUUUACUGUGAGAAAAUUAGAGUGUUUAAAGCAAACUUCAUAUGUUUGAAUAGAUUAGCAUGGAAUAAUAAGAUUGGCUUUCAUAGUCGAUUUUUUGGUUUGUUUAUGAAAGCAAGAUUAAUAGGGACAGUUGGGGGUAUUCAUAUUCAAUAGCUAGAGGUGAAAUUCUAUGAUUUAUGGAAGAUGAACAAGUGCGAAAGCA
rnacentral:rRNA from 1 species